rnacentral:sRNA from 1 species
GCUGCCGACGUAAAAACGCCUCCCACAAAAUCUAGUGCCGAUCGGAAAACAGGCGAGACCACGAUCUCAGUUUCAAUCUCCGCUGGUCCUAAUUCGCGUCUGAGAAAACGUGUCUCACAAAACUGCGAAUAACUCAACCAAUUUUAAUCCAAAUCAAGUUCUGUAAACUGGAGCAUAACGAUAAACGACUUGGGAAUAACUCUACCAAAUUUCGUUACCUUUGACCAUGAUUUGAUAUGACGAAACUGAUUUCUUCCAAACCCUAACGAUUCUGCUCCUUCUCCUUUUCUCUUUUUUUCUCUUUUAUAAAACGAAAAGUGGUUAACGAUUCUGCCCUAAUUUCGAGUUUCCUUCUUUUAUAGGCACACUUUAGGGUUUCCAAUUAACCCAACCAAUUAAACCAGAUGAUUUAAAAACAAACCCUAACCGAUUUUCCGGUUCACGGGCGUUACAAUAGUUUAGUUUGAAUGAAGCUUUGUUUUAGAGAUUUUAACUAUGAAGAUUUAAAUGU